GAUGAACGCUGGCGGCGUGCCUAAUACAUGCAAGUCGAGCGAACGGACGAGAAGCUUGCUUUUCUGAUGUUAGCGGCGGACGGGUGAGUAACACGUGGAUAACCUACCUAUAAGACUGGGAUAACUUCGGGAAACCGGAGCUAAUACCGGAUAAUAUUUUGAACCGCAUGGUUCAAAAGUGAAAGACGGUCUUGCUGUCACUUAUAGAUGGAUCCGCGCUGCAUUGGCUAGUUGGUAAGGUAACGGCUUACCAAGGCAACGAUGCAUAGCCGAGCUGAGAGACUGAUAGGCCACCCGGGAGCUUGAACACGGUCCAGGCUCCUGCGAGAGGCCCCAGUCGCGUAUCUUCCGCAAUGGGCGGAAGCCUGGCGGAACAAGGCGGCGUGAGUUGUAAAAGUCUUCGGAUCGUAAAACUCUGUUAUUGGGGAAGAACAUAUGUGUACGUAACUGUGCACAUCUUGACGGUACCUGGUCAGAAAGCCACGGCUAACUACGUG
rnacentral:rRNA from 1 species